rnacentral:rRNA from 1 species
AGUCGCACGGUCAGCAAUGGCAGUGGCGGACGGGUGAGUAACACGUAGGAAUCUAUCCUGGGGUGGGGGAUAACAGUGGGAAACUACUGCUAAUACCGCAUGAUACCUGAGGGUCAAAGGCGCGAGUCGCCUUGGGAGGAGCCUGCGUCUGAUUAGCUUGUUGGUGGGGUAAAGGCCUACCAAGGCGACGAUCAGUAGCUGGUCUGAGAGGAUGAUCAGCCACAUUGGGACUGAGACACGGCCCAAACUCCUACGGGAGGCAGCAGUGGGGAAUAUUGGACAAUGGGGGCAACCCUGAUCCAGCAAUGCCGCGUGUGUGAAGAAGGUCUUCGGAUUGUAAAGUCCUUUUGGCGGGGACGAUGAUGACGGUACCCGCAGAAUAAGCUCCGGCUAACUUCGUGCCAGCAGCCGCGGUAAUACGAAGGGGGCUAGCGUUGCUCGGAAUGACUGGGCGUAAAGGGCGCGUAGGCGGACGGCACAGUCAGGCGUGAAAUUCCUGGGCUCAACCUGGGGACUGCGUCUGAGACGUGUUGUCUUGAGUAUGGAAGAGGGUUGUGGAAUUUCCAGUGUAGAGGUGAAAUUCGUAGAUAUUGGAAAGAACACCGGUGGCGAA